UGGAUAUUUUUUCCAUUCUAAACCCUCAGUGGGAAGAAACCUUCUACUUAUAAAGUAUUUCAAUGAGAUAAGGAAAAAAUGAUGAAGCAAAUUAUUGAUUUCAUGAAAUAGAUUAAAUAGCUUAUUUUUUUGAGUUCAUAUCCAGCUAGAAACAGGCCAUCUGAGUAACCAAUAUUCAUUAGACUCUCAUUUAAGUAAUAAACACCAGGCUAGAUGCUGGGGUUACAGAGAUUAAUUAGACAAGCUCUUCAUCCUCAAGAGUCUCACAGGGUAAGGGAGCAGAUAGACAAAUACACUAGAAGAUGCUGACUCAGCUCAAUGGGACAGCUUCCAGAUAGGGCCCCCUCUCCUAGCUCUGCCCUAGAGCACCUCGCCCCAUAUGUGCCCAGAGCACAGCAUUGUCUUCUGCUUAUGUCAUUGAUCAAAUCCACUCAUUUCACUCAACGUAUGUUCUUUGAAUGCCUCCUACAUGUCAGGCUCUCUUCCAAGUGCAUAAAUUAACAUCUGCAUUUUGAUAUAUGUUAUAUGUGUAUAUGUUAUAUUGAGAUAUAGUGGGCAUAUAUAUUAUCUCUUCUUGUUUCCUUUAUGGGUAUGUAAAUAAGAAUGUAUACUUUAUAAAUCUUUGCAAAAUCAAGGUCAUAUUAUAUUCGCUGUUUUGGGGCUUUGAACAUGGCUCGGUAUUUCCCUUGACAUUAAAUAUUCACUGACAAUGUGCUUUUAGUGUAGAUAUAUUAGCUACCAUCAUUUGGAGACCCAACCUCAAUCUAUUUAGUCAAUUCCUAAUUAUUAGUCCUUUGGGUUUUAGUUUUUUUUUUUUCCUAUUACAAAUAAGGAAAAGACUUACUUUUCUAUGCAAACCUUUGAUUGCCUUUCUAUCACAGGAUUACAAUUAGUCAUCAGCCUUCAAUGCUCAUCAUCAGCCUUUGGAAAGCAGAUAUGUUCUCUUCUGCCUUUUGGUCAGAAAUUUUCCUAACUUCAUUGUGUGAUAUGAUUUCACCUUCAUGUUAGAUUUCUAGUUAUCAGUGCAGUGGAAUAAGUCAGUCAAGAAGAACCACGGCUGUGCUUUAGUGCCUCUUGCAUAUCAAUACUCGCUUAUCUGAACACACAUAUAAGAAAGCUCCUUCAGGGACUGGCUUGGCACGUGAGAAGGUCCCGCAGAGGAGCAUGGGGUUGGGGGAAGUCUGAAAUGGACACUUUGGUCCUAGAGAUGGCGUGCUUCGGCCCCUCUUUGUUUUGCUCUAGCGCCAUCUAAAUUUCAGAUUGAUUUAAAUUUUCCUCACAUUCUCCUGUCAGGAUACACACAUCACCAUCCGUGCAACAUAGCCUCUUUGAUAACGACCCUAAGAGAAGCACUUGCAUGUCUUUACCCCUCCCCAGGGGGCUAGCUGGAGACUCCCAGAGGCAAACUUCACAGAAUAGAAGAAAAGCAGUCCCAGGGCAGAAAAGCUUUAUGCAACCUCAGUAAACACCCAAAUAGCACAGGAGUUACUGAACAGAAAGGCACUGUGAUGUAGCAUUGUUUAUUAUGUCAGACAGCAUCAGAUUCCCAUGGCUUUAUAGGAAAGGAAAUUAGAGCAAUGAGUUUCAAUUAAGUUAUGCACAUGAAAUCUACCUCAAUUGUGCUAAUAGAAAACCUUAAUGUUGAUCCUGGCAUAACUUCUAAAUUUUAAACAUGAAUGCUUUUCGUGACUCAUAAUCACCAUUAAAACUUGAGCACCAUCCAUAAAACGAGCCUUUAGUUUUAGAUGCCAAAAGGUAAGGCAGGAGCAGUUGGACUUUCUAAGUGUAAUAAAAUGCCAGGCAGAAAUAUGAGGCUAUAGAACCUUUCGUUUCCAGAGACCUUCAGCUCUCUGGGGGCCAUUGAGCAUUUACCCUAAGUAUUCACAUAGCUUCACUUUUUAGAAUAAUCUUAGAUGAUUUAGGGCUUUUCAGGAAAUAGUUUCAUUUAUUACUAUGCCUCAUAAUGUUAAAGCAUGUCUGUGGAUACUGCAGGACCUGCCGAUGGUUUUAAACCUGCUAUUAGGUUUUUAAGACUUCUGACAUCCCUUUGACUCAAAAAUCUUUUUAAAACUUUCAAGAUAAGAGGCUCUGGAGCUUGGGAGGUGGGAUAUGUAAUAACGUCAGUCAUACUCAAAAUAAAAAACCUUGAAAUCAUCACAUGGGCUUGGUACUUUGUGGUAUAACAGCUAAAUGACAGGGCAUCUGCCUCUCCCAUCGUCCUGCCAGUUCUCACUGAUGUAUUGGGUCUGGGGUUGUGUGGACUCUCUCUACAUUGACACUAUUCUAACCAGAGGACACAGAGGUUAAUACAAGUUCCAGCCAGAAAGUGGCCACCCCUCUAACACUGGGUAGAGCAAAUGGAAAGAGUGGAGGUCCUUUUCCAGAGAAGCACUGGAGGGAUGCCGCUGGACCCUAGGAAUUCAGUUGAAAAUUAUACUAAUGAACCUCUGCAGUGGAAUCAAGGGAAGUCCCCAGAUUAACCAAAUGUCUCAAGAAUGAAAGAAAAAAAAUCCUUCACCUUUUCUGGCCCCUUAGAACAGAAAACAUCCUAAAGGCUUAGUGAAAUGGCAACAUUCCUAAAAUGCCUUAUUGUGGAAACCAUAAGAUUAUCAACUAAAUAAAUAUCCAUUAAUAGGAUAAAAGAAAAAGUAAGGCUUCUGUGAAACAGAUUCAAAAAUCAAUAAGAGAAUGGGUUGUAUUAAUUGUGAUUCUGUUGCAAUAGACAGAAAGCCCAGCACAGAUUGAUUUUUGUAAAAAGAAAGUUCUGCAAAAUGUCCAGGAGUACACUUAGCUUUAGGUGUUGCUGCCUAGAAGGGCCCAAAUAGUGUUCUCACAGAAGGAUUUCUCCUGGCCCAUAUCUUUAAGAGAAGAACCAUUGUCCUUUCCAUGAGGGUUCUAUCCUCCGAAAAUCUUUUUCUUUGGGGUGGAAGGAUGACUACAAGAGUUCUGGUCACACCGUUUAGGUUCUGUAUCCAUGGAAACAGAGCGGCUCCUCUCACCCAGCACACGUUCUUGCAGCAUCUUUAGCUGGUCAGGUCAUGUGCUGCUCCAGAAAUGAUUUGCUGGGGCUGAAGAAGAUUUCGCUUCAGUGCCAGACUCCUGCUUUUCUCUGAGACCUGGCAGGUCCCAAAGACCAGAGUGCAUCUUCAAGGUAAACCAGGAGCCUUGGCUUGGAACUGUGGAAAGGAAAACUGGGAAGGCAAACAGCAAAGACCCAUUACUCAGAGUAAGACUAAAAUGAAGCAGAGCAUGAAGAGAUUCAUAAUCUACUUAAAAUUAAAACAGAGUGGAGGGAGUGCAAUACACAAGGACUGCAAAAAAUAUAAUGACAGAAUCUAAAUUUGCCUCAGGACUCAUAGAGAAGGAAAAAAAAUGGUACCAAUAUUAAAUUGAAAUAUGAAGGAAAAAUUAAGAAAAUUUUCCAGAGGACAGAGGAAAAAAGGAAACUAACUCAUGAAAGGCACAGAAAAGAAAUCCAACUUACAAAUUAUGUCUUAGAAUAGAGAGUCCAUCAAUAGACCCACAUCACAUUAUUUCUCCCAAUAUAUUUAAUGUAAUAAUUUCUUCUCAUAAAAAUAGGGCUCCUCAUAUCGUAUUAUAAACAAAGCUGAAAUUAAUGCUGGUUACAAACAAGGAUGAUGUCAACAAAACUGCAAAAUGGGCAGUUCGAAGCUCUUACCCCUCCAUUGAAACAUUAAAAAACAAGCAGAAAUUGUCAGAACCAAGUUUGUCAGAACUCUAGAAAACAGUCAAAAGUUUAGAGCAGCGAAAUAAACAUUAGGUCAAGAAAAAGGAAACUUCGAGAUGGUAAAAAUGUUGUGUGUUAUCCCAACACCUCCUUGGCACAGUGGUCGUCUUGAAGACAAAAGCCCAUGUUCUCAGAGUGGGAUCUAGGUCUCUGGUUCUGGAGCAAACAGAGCUGACCUUACUUGCAAAUUAUUGUGCCUGUCUGUUCUAACCUGUCUGGGUGCUUCCUGGAGGGCUGGGGGUCUCUGUUCCAUCUAACUAGAAAUUCAGGCUAGAAAUGUGGCAGGCAUUGCUCAAAAACACUGCAAACCAAACUAAAAACACAUCAACUCCUAGUACAAACAAUUAUAGCUGAAACAUACAACAGACUUCUUAAGGAUGCUUAAGGAGCAAAACAUGGGAUAGUUUAUUUGGGAACUUAAGACACACAGAAGCACCCACAUAUAUCAGGAAAUUUAGAAAGUUAUGUACAUGCAUGCUCAGGGAUUGCUUAAAAAGGACCUAAGAAGAUUUUAAGCUUUCUCCUUAGGGUCAGCAAAAUCCUUAGUGCCAAAGGAGUGCUCUGGCACAGAGCCUAUCUGCAAACUUGGGGAGAAGGUUUCCUUUUGUUGUUUGUUUUAUGUUUUAGCUUCUGGAGUUUGAAGAAAUCUCUUAAAACAGUGGCUGAACACAAACUAAAGAACAGAGAUUUCAGUGACCACACACAAUAAGAAAUAGAGUCUUCACAAGAAUAAUUUGGGAAAAUCACUAAAUAAAAGGAUAGUUACAGCCUU
ensembl:lncRNA